UACAGAGGGUGCGAGCGUUAAUCGGAAUUACUGGGCGUAAAGCGCGCGUAGGCGGUUUUGUAAGUCGGGUGUGAAAUCCCCCAAGCUUAACUUGGGGAACUGCAUUCGAGACUGCAUAGCUAGAGUAUGGGAGAGGGAAGUGGAAUUUCAGGUGUAGCGGUGAAAUGCGUAGAUAUCUGAAGGAACAUCAGUGGCGAAAGCGACUUCCUGGACCAAUACUGACGCUCAUGUGCGAAAGCGUGGGGGAGCAAACAGG
rnacentral:rRNA from 1 species